rnacentral:rRNA from 1 species
UUAGGAAUUUUGCGCAAUGGGGGAAACCCUGACGCAGCAACGCCGCGUGGAGGAUGAAGGCCUUCGGGUUGUAAACUCCUUUCAGCAGGGAAAAACACAAUGAUGGUACUUGCAGAAGAAGCACCGGCUAACUCUGUGCCAGCAGCCGCGGUAAUACAGAGGGUGCAAGCGUUAUUCGGAAUCACUGGGCGUAAAGAGUUCGUAGGCUGUCUAUUAAGUCUGCUGUGAAAGCCCCGGUCCUAAACCGGGAAGUGCAGUGGAUACUGAUAGACUAGAGUAUAGGAGGGGAAAGCGGAAUUCCAGGUGUAGAGGUGAAAUUCGUAGAUAUCUGGAGGAACAACAGAGGCGAAAGCGGCUUUCUGGACUAUUACUGACGCUGAGGAACGAAAGCAUGGGGAGCAAACAGG